rnacentral:rRNA from 1 species
ACCCGCUGAACUUAAGCAUAUCAAUAAGCGGAGGAAAAGAAACUAACAAGGAUUCCCCUAGUAACUGCGAGUGAAGCGGGAAAAGCUCAAAUUUAAAAUCUGGUAGCCUUCGGUUGCCCGAGUUGUAGUCUGGAGAAGCGUCUUCCGCGUUGGACCGUGUACAAGUCUCUUGGAACAGAGCGUCAUAGAGGGUGAGAAUCCCGUCUUUGACACGGACUACCAGUGCUUUGUGAUGCGCUCUCAAAGAGUCGAGUUGUUUGGGAAUGCAGCUCAAAAUGGGUGGUAAAUUCCAUCUAAAGCUAAAUAUUGGCGAGAGACCGAUAGCGAACAAGUACCGUGAGGGAAAGAUGAAAAGCACUUUGGAAAGAGAGUUAAACAGUACGUGAAAUUGCUGAAAGGGAAACGAUUGAAGUCAGUCGCGUCUUCUAGUACUCAGCCUUCCUUUUGGUUGGUGCAUUUACUAGUCGACGGGCCAGCAUCAGUUUUGGCUGCGGGAUAAAGGUCAGAGGAAUGUGGCACCUUCGGGUGUGUUAUAGCCUCUGGUCAUAUACCGUGGCUGGGACUGAGGAUCUCAGCACGCCUUUAUGGCGGGGGUUCGCCCACCUUCGUGCUUCGGAUGCUGGCGUAAUGGCUUUAAACGACCCGUCUUGAAACACGGACCAAGGAGUCUAACAUGCCUGCGAGUGUUUGGGUGGAAAACCCGAGCGCGUAAUGAAAGUGAAAGUUGGGAUCUCUGUCGUGGAGAGCACCGACGCCCGGACCAGACCUUCUGUGACGGAUCCGCGGUAGAGCAUGUAUGUUGGGACCCGAAAGAUGGUGAACUAUGCCUGAAUAGGGUGAAGCCAGAGGAAACUCUGGUGGAGGCUCGUAGCGAUUCUGACGUGCAAAUCGAUCGUCAAAUUUGGGUAUAGGGGCGAAAGACUAAUCGAACCAUCUAGUAGCUGGUUCCUGCCGA